rnacentral:lncRNA from 1 species
AGGAUAAAACAAGGUUAUAAGCUAGAAAGGAGAUGAUUUUGCUACUAAAAUGAUGCUUAGAUAAUGGUAAGAAUUAACAUUAUCACACUCCAUGGCCUUGUGGAGGCUCCUCGUUGCGAAUACGAGCUUUUCCAUGCUCUUGAUCUUCUUCUGGACUUCACGGGUUCCAAACUCGAGCUUGCGAGCAUCUAGGACUUCAAAGCUAGCAAGGUUUUGGUCGAAACAUCUAGCUGCAAGGCGGGAGAUGGUAGCAACGACGAGGUUGAGGUCCUCGAGGCGUUCGACGCAGGCGAGGGUGAGGAGAAAGCACACGUUGCGGGAGUUGAGAGAGGAAACGGAUUUGGACCUGAUGAUGUUGCGGUGGAGGUGGACAAUUUCUUGGGGUGAGGGAGUUGUAGAGGGAGAGGAGGCGGCACAUGGUCUUGGCGGCGUCGAAUGGGAGGACGCUGAGGGUCUCAGGUGGGGAGGGUUCAUCUUGGAUGAAGAGCAAGCAAAGGUUGGUAGCGCUGGGACAUGGAGCCAUGGUUGGAGCCCUAGACGGAUGUCGCAUAUCCGUUUUAGGCUCAAACGGACACGCGACAUCCAUUCGUGGCCUCUUAUCUUCUUUCUUCUCCUCUGCACACAUGAAUCACACAACUCACAGAGUAAUCACAGAUCACAAACACUUGCAAAACGCUGUACAACAUCAACCACACACAGGGAUACAUUUAUGAAGAACUAACCUCUCGAAGAAGACCCAAGUCGCGAAGCAUUGGCCACCGCACACACUAUCACACCGUCUCAUUACUGCACCGCUACACCGCCCGAAUGACCACCGCACCACGAAACCCAAAAGGAGAUGGAGGAAACAAACGAAAUGGAUAUGAGAGAGUUGGAAGGAUGGGAACAAAUCUUAGGAUGGAAACGGAUGUCAGAGUAAGAGUUGAAGGUGCUCUGGAAAGAGAGAAAAGAGAAAAUGAGAGGUGGGGCUUCGCAGUGAAAAUGGCUUCUCAGUGAAUAUAAAUAGAAAUUAAGGUUUGAAUAAAUAAAAUUAAAAAGUAAAAAAAAAAAGUUAAAAAGGUUAAUUUUGUAAUUAAAAAAAUUUAUAGAGUUUUGGAGAGGUGGAGGGAACAAAGAUAGUGGUGGAGAGAGCAACACCCUUAAAAACACUAUCUCGAGCAUCAUGUAAAUUGAUUCAUUACUUUUUUAUUAUCCUUAUUUUUUAAUUGAUAUUGAUAUUUUAACAACUUCUUUUAAUAACUUUUUUAUAGUAGAAUAUGUGUUAUCAUUUUAUUAGUCUAUCUGAAUUUAAUUUUAAAAAUAUUUAAAAUGGACGAAUCACAAAUUAUCAACGUUGUCAAAAAAUAGUUUAAUCCUUUUUUAAUAUAGGAUUAGAUUCAUGCGAAACAUAUCUUAUUGAAAGAACUACCAUAUUAUUGGGAGAAUGAAAAAUUAUGUUCAAAAAAGAAAACAGAGCAUAAAGGAGAUUUAUAUAGGAAUUAAAAUGCCUCCGAGUGGGUUAUUUAUAUAAGAAUAUUUGCAGAAGGAACAAGGCCCCGACUGAAUUAUGGAGCUUUGAACAGUUAUGUGUUGGUUGUUUUCUGCAUGGCAAUGUUAAAGGUGGCACGCAUGCACGAUAUCAUGCCUCAGAUUGCUUACACGAUUGCUAGUGCUGUCUAUUGGUAUAUUAUGAAAAACAAGAAAAACAGAGGUUCACGAGUAGAUAUAACACUCACAGCCAAAAGGGCUUUGUCCAUUUGAAACGCACUUCAAAAAAUUCCAUCACCAUUUCCUAGUCAUCAUCACCGAAAUGAAAGUUACACAUAUACAUGAUUUCAAAACUGUCAUGAAUUCAGCCUAACUUGGCUUAUAGCAAUCGUGUAAGCAAACUCAGACAUGAUAUCGUGCAUGCGUGCCACCUUUGACAUGCAAUGCAGAAAGCAACAAACGGAUAACUAUUCAGUGUUGCAUCUGCAAAUUUUAUAUAAACAACCCUCGUUGGGAGUCUUGUAUCUUCACUGCAAAAAGAAAAUUUAGAAGUUUGAAGAACAAGAUGAUGGUGCUAAAGGUGUGUGUGUUGGUAGUUUUCCUUGUAGGGGUUACUACUGCUGGCAUGGAUCUGAACCAGCUGAGAAGUAGUCAUCAUCAUGACUCAAGCGAUGAGCCUUCUGAGUCUUCAGAACCAUGCUGUGAUUCAUGCCGCUGCACUAAAUCAAUACCUCCUCAAUGCCAUUGUGCAGAUAUUAGGUUGAAUUCAUGCCACUCAGCUUGCAAAUCCUGUAUGUGUACACGAUCAAUGCCAGGCAAGUGUCGUUGCCUUGACACUGAUGAUUUCUGUUACAAACCUUGUGAGUCCAUGGAUAAAGAUGAUGACUAAGAAAAAGGAAGAUCAACUCUUUCUCUCUCAGAUGAACAAAACACUUCAGUUUUGUUUGUUGUGUAAGGGAAGACAGAAUAAAAGUUGGAAUAAAAGCUACUGUUUCAUCAUUAUGCUCUGUGUUUGGAUGAAAAAAUUACCAUAAACAAUGCUUUCUGGUUUCUUUUACAUAUUCCUUGCUUUUUGCUUUUAGGAUUUUCAAUUUUAUUCUUUUAAAGUAUAAUUUUUUAUAUUUUUAAUAAAAAGAGGUAAAAAGAAUGAUUAUAAAAAUAUAAAUUCUUGUAUUUUUUUUAAAAAAAAAAAAGAAAAAAAGAAAAAAAGAUAAAAGAGUAAAGGAAAUACAAGAAUAAAAUUAUCAUAAAAAUAUAAAAUUCUUGUAUUUUUAUUUUCAAAAUAGAAGAGUAUUUUUUUUCAAAAAGAAAAGAGAGUAAAAAGAAAUAAGAGAAUAAAAAGAAAGAUAUAAGAGUAAAAGGAAGAUAAAAUAAAUUUUUGUAUUUUUUUUUUAAAAAGAAGAUAUUUUUGUAGUUUUUCGAGUAAAAAAAGAUUUUAGUAGUUUUUUAAGUAAGAAGAGAUUUAUUUUUUAAAGAAAAAAAAAAUAAAAAGUAAGAUUAGUAUUUUUUUUUUCAAGAAAGAAGAGAGUAAAAAGUAGAGCUCUCAAAAUGGGUCAUAAUUCGGAGGUCAAUUCGGUCCACCAGGGAUUCGGACCGGGUUAGGUUUAAAAAAAUUGUUUUUUUUAUUAUGCGAGUUAGAUUUCAAUCUCGCUUAUUUAAAUCCGGGUCAUGCGGGUUGAAUUUGUGAUGAGCCGGAUUGGCUCACCAAUCCACCAACCUAAUUUUAUUUUAUUAAAAUUUAAUUUUAACUUUAUAAAAAAAUAUUUAUUAUUUUUUUUCUUGAAAAAAUUAUUUAAGUUUCCUAUUUUUAAAAUUAAUUAAAACACAUGGGAGUAAAAUUUGGAAGUGAAAUUUGUUUAAAUUUAAAUUAUAGAAAGUUUGUAAUUUUUUAAUUUGGAAGUGAAAUUUGUUUAAGUUAAAUUAUAGAAAGUUUGUAAUUUUUUUAUUUAAAAAAAUUGUAAUUAAGUGAGUAAAUGAGUUAACCCGUUUACUAAUGGAUGGAGCCAGAUUUAAAUUUUUUUAGCUUGCUAAUAAAUGAACCAGUUUGAUUGGUUUACUAAGUGAUCAACCCAUGAAGAGUCGGACCGAAUGCCUCAUUUGACAGCUCUAGUAAAAAGUAAGAUUAGUAUUUUUUUUUUUCAAGAAAUAAUAUUUUUCUUCAAUUAAGCAUGGUUUCAAAAUGAAAAAUCAUUUUCAUAUCUCCUAAAUACUACUUGGUACGAAGCAAUUAAAGAAACAAGCACAUGGAGAACAGUUUUAGGUUCUAAGAAUCGACUAUCACUCUAACUUCUUAACCAACCAGGACAAUUUAUGUAAUGGUUCAUUCAAAUAAUAGAUUAUAUUUAAUUUUAUAUACUUUUGGGAAGUGUACUGUGAUGCAUUACAAGAAAUUUUUAUAUUUUGAGAUUUUUUUUAGAUUUUAUCCUUUGGAUGUCGAUUUUCUAAAACCAUGAAUAUUUAUAAAUAUUUUCUAAAUACUACAUAUUUUUCUAUAGUGAUAAUUUUUUCUUUAUAUGUUCUCAUUUAGUUAUAUUUUUAAUUAACGUAUAAAAAAAAAUUUGUUUAUAUUUUAAUUUAGUUAUAUAUUUAGUUAACUUACAAUGUCAAUGUAUAUAUUUUAAUGGUAGCUUAUAUUUAUAUAUUUUAAUUUGGUUAUUUUUUAGCUAAUCAAUGACUUCUUUUAUUUGUAUAUUUCUAUUGAGUUAUAUUUUUAAUUAACGUGAACAUUGUUACUUUGUACCCUCUAGAAAACUGACCUGAUAAAAAGGUCCCCACAAAUGUAUCUUUUGGGAAGAAUAUAUUCUUUUCCAUAAAAAUGCUUAUCUUUUGGCGCACACCAUUCUUUUCAUACCUGAAUUUUUGCUUAGCAUCUCAAGUUUCGUACCGAUGAGCAAUUCAUUUUUAAAAAAUGCAACUUUAAAGGAAUUUAAUAAAACAAUGUGAGACUCACUCAGUUUUAUUUAAAACUCACGCAUACCUAACAUUCAUUAUAUUAAUAACGUAAUCAAUUCAACUAUAUUUCAUCUUCAUAGAAAUGUUAUGAAGAGUUAAUUAUAUUUUUAAACAUAUAUAUUUCAUUAUUAGAUCGAAAAUCAUACAAUAUAUAAUAGUUAAAUUUGAUUAGGAAUGACAACGAUUCAAUCAAACAUAGUUAGAUUCAAAUGUAUAUUAUACUUUUAGAUCUAGUAAAACAUUUUUGACAAAUCUUUGGUGUGGUUAUUGAUAAAUUGAGAUUUGACUACCAUGUUAUCGCCAAUCUAAUCUCUUACCCAUUAAACAAUGAUAGGUAGUUUUAGCAUUUUUUAGACUAAACGAAAUGAGUUCAUGGUAAUAAUUUGCAUACUCGGUGAUGAAUAUAAUCUUUUUAUUAUCUGGAUAAUACAUAGGUAUAUGAUUAUAUCCUAAGUAGGUAUCCAGAAAGAUUAACAUCUGGUUAUGGCUCCAAUUAUCACCCAAUAGAUAUAUUAGGAAUUGAGUAUGCAUUUUUGGGACAUGCUUAAUUGGGAUCAGUGCCACUCACCGCUCAACUUCUUUACUAAAACCAUGUUGGAGAGCCAGAUAACAUACUUAACCUUCCCGAAUGAACCUUGCUUUAUGUAGUUUGUUCACUUCAACCUGGACCGCUUUUUGUGUGUUUUCCCCAUUAAUGUUUCUUUUGUGCUACUAGUUGAGUUUUUUUUUUUAAGAUGGCCAACUUGUGAGACAUCAUCCCAAAAUAUAUUUUUGGUAUGCCAAGUNUUGUCUUCACAAACAUUAAAAGAGUAAACACAUUUAUACAAAAGUGAGUAUAUAAUACAAUAAAACCAAUAUAUAGUCUAACAUAGAAAAACAUAUUAGAAAGUAGAUAUCUAAAUGACAUCUCUAUCAAAAACUGAUAAAUUUAACUAUUGGUAAAUAAUUAAACUAUUUAGUAAUUUAUUAAAAAACAAGAUAAUAUGUUGAAAAAAAAAUGUAUCAAUGACUGUGUUAAACAUUUAAGAUUAAGCAACUUUUAACAUCUAAUUAGAGAUGAAAACGAAUUAGAUAAAAUACGGAUAUUACUUAUUCACAACUCAACUCAUCUGAAAAAACACUAACUCUAUUUAUCCCAUUUAUCUAUUGGAUAUCUAUAUAAAAUAAAUUUAUGAAUUUUUUCUGGAGUGACGCUAAACAUUUGUGAAUAUUUUAAAACAAAUAAAUUUUGAAUAUUUAAACACUAAAAUUACUUUAAAAUUAAAAUAGUAUUAAAUAAAAUAAAAUACAACUAAAAGUAAAGUUUGAUGGAUUUUGGAUAAUAUACCUAUCAUAUGCUUACUUGUUAUCCUAAUACCAGAAACAGAAACUAAAAAAAAAAGUCAUAUACUUCACUCACGUUGCACAUUGAAUAAAAGUUUUCGAAUUUAACUUUUAAAUGUUCGAAUCUGCUUCUUACAUACAAGCUAGAACCAGAGAGCAGAAAAAAAAAAAUAGAACUUCAUACCUAAAAGCAGCUACUCAAUACGUCAUAACCUAAUAAUUUUAUUUAUUUUUUCUUUAGUAAAUACACGUAUACAAAUAAUAUAACACAUACACCAUAUACAUAAAAUCCAUUUAUAGAUAAAUAUUAAAAUAUUCAUUAUUCAUCGUAAAUUUUAUUUACAAAUAUAUAUAAAUAUUUUUUCAAUCUUUACAUCUAAUAUUAAAUAAACUAUAUUACCAUGGAUUAGGUCAACCAAUAAUAAAGUAAAUAUUUAUUUAUUAUAAAUAACUUAAAAUAAUUUUUAUGAAUAACUGUUGAAAAAUUGUUAAUAUUAACUUAAAUUUUAUAAAUACUUAAAGUAUUUAAAAUUAAUUUUAUAUUUUUUAACUUUUAAAAAAAUAACAUUUUACAUGUAUUAAAAUUCACAAAUUCUAUAAGCAUUUAAUUUAACAUUUUCUUCUAAUAUUCUAAUUUAAUUGUGACAAUGUAAAGCUAAUAAAUGCGGAAACCUUUUAAUUUAUUAUUAUUUACUUCUUAAAAAAUUAAUUAGUGUCAUUAAUGUAUUAUUAAUUUGUAUUAAUUAAUAAUUAAAAUUUCUUUUAUUUUGUAAUUAGUCAGCUAUUUUUUAUUUUAAUUCAUGCAAUUAAAGCAUAUAACUUUUGAUAAUUAUUUACUUUCAUUAAUUGAGACAAUAAAAUUUUAUAAAUUUUUAAUAAUUAAUUGUUUUCAUUAAUUUAUUACCGUAUUAUAUUAAUUAAUAAUUAAUUUUUUUUUUGUUAUUGAAUUAUAUUAACUAUUUUUUGUUUUAUUAUUUUCACUGAAACAGUAAAAGUUUACCCCCUUCAUUUAUAUUUUCCAUUCAUUGCUAAAAGAAGUAAGCUUCUGUAAUUUGACUCUCUCUUUUUUAUUGCAAGUGUGUGAAUUUCCAUAAACCUUAGUAAUAAUGAUAUGAAUUUAUUUUAUUAUUAUUUGUUAUACAUUAACUUUCUAGUUCAAAUAAUUAUAUUUACGUUUAGUUUUAUUAAUUUUUAGUCUAUAUAAUAAAAUAAGUUGUUUAUAUAUUUUUAAUGUCGGUAAUAUAUAUAUAUAUAUAUAUAUAUAUAUAUGCAUGAAUGUUUGGGUAAAAUUCAUGUUUUCUUUCAAAAUACUAUUUUUUAUAUUGUAUAACAUGAUAUUUGGUUGAAUUCGAUCUAAAUUAACAUGCUUUUAGUUCAGUUUAUUUAAUUUGGGUUUAUGUAAAAAUAUUAAAAAUUUCUAAAGAGUCUAAUUUCAUAUAAAUUAAUUGAUUAAGAUGUCAUUUUAUUAUUAAUUGAAAUUAUUAUACAUUAUAAACAAAAUUUAAUUUAAUUCCACAUACAAUUACAUUGUUUCAAAAAACAAUUACAAUUAAAUAACUUUUAUUUUAUAAAAAUCAAAUCCAUACAAAGAUUAUGUGUAUAUGUAACUUAAAUAUAAUAUCAAAAACUUUAAAUAUAAGAACAAUUUGAUUGUUUUGAAAAAUAUCUAUGAUUAGUAUAAUCUUCAUCAAAUUCAUUUGAAGAAGGAGUUCAAUGCUAAUUUUACUCAAAAAAAAAAAAUCAUCCAUAAUUCACAUUUAGUAGUGAAGAGAUUAUUAUUUUAAACUCAAGGAAUCUCUAUCUUUAAUAUUUUUUAAAAAAGAGGAAAAAAAAAGGAAUGAUAUAUAUUGAAAUAUAAAUAUUAGUUAUUUGCAUUUGUGUAGUAAAAGUGAACUCUUAACUUCAUGUAAGUUUUUAAAGGUAAGGUUAAAAAUAAGAUAGAAAUGAUGAGAGUGUGCAAUUUUCCUUUUUAUCAAAACCUUCACUAAAAUAGUACCAACCAUGUCAAUACCCACAUUUGCUAUUUCUUAUAAAGAUCCAACCAAAGUUUGUCUUCACUUCAUAGUAUGAGUAAGUUCAUGAAUUUUAGCAAUUUACUUAAACAUUGUACAAUGUAUGUUCCAAAAUGAACAAUCUCCAAGCUAAUAAAACCAAACAAUAAUAAAAUUAAACAUUGUGAGUUGUUUUAUUUUUAUUUGAAUUAAAUAUCUUUUUACUUUCUAAAUUUAUACAUGUAAUUAAAAUUUAUUUUUAUGUCAAUUUUUUUUAUAUAUUUUGAUGUCACACUUAGAAAUUAAUAAAUAUAAUAUUUUUAACUUAAUUUUGUAGAUAUAAAACAUGUCAAACAUUUCAAACAUCAUGCUAAAAUAUGUUAAAAAAAUAUUUAAAAUAAUUAAAUUAAUACUAUCAUAUUAAUUCAUGGUUAAAAUUUUAAGAUAAAAACGUGUAAAAAUAAGAAAAAGAAAAUGAGUUUUACAUCUAAAUUUUCAAACUAAAAAGUAUUUAACCUUGAGAAAUAAAAAAUAAGAAGGGUGGAGAGAAUUAAAUCAACUAAUAAUUUUCUAUAAAAGAUUAAUAAUUGUAAAAAGUUACAGAAUGUGUUUUUUUAUUUGGUCAUGUGGGCCCAUUCCAUGUUUCAUUGUUAGAUUCCAACCUGCUAAACAUUUGGCUUGGCACUUUGCUCCUCAGUGUUCACUCUGUUCAGAGACAAUUCUCAGAGCUGCCUCCACAAUCAAUCAGAGCAGAGUUGUCUGUUUCUUCUCGAACAUUCGCCGCUACUAUUUCAUAACCGUCUCACUCUCAGCCAACGCGAUUUUCAUCGGAGGUGACUACUCUCUCUCUUCCUGGCUCGCUCAAUUUUGUCUAUUAAUUUUUCCUUUGUUGACGGAAUUGCAUGUUUCUUUGCGCUUGUUUAUGUAUUGGUGAAGACCAAUUUAUAAGUUUUUUGUUUCUUUCUGUUUCUGAAUGAAUGUUUUUUAUGGGUAAUUUUGUAUUUUUUUCAUGUUAUAAUCUCUUAUUCUUCUUGGUACUGCUUUCAGUUCAACUCUUUUUUUUUUUUUUCUAGGUUUCAGCGGCUAUGGAAAUGCAUGUCAUUUUUUUUUGUUAUCAUUAUGUUAUUGACACGAACCGUCUUUAAUUGCAUCUCCAAUUUAUGUCUGUUUUUUUUAAUCAAUUUGUUUUAGUCAGAGAUUGGGGACAGAGAGAGCAUGGGGAGGGGAGAAUUGGAAAGUUAGAAGACUGCGAGCAUUUAGUGGAGAAGGUUGAAAUUGGACAUAUUUAUGGUAGGGAGAAUGGAUGAUGAAUCUAAUGUUGGUUCUUUCUGGAUGGAGGAAAUUAAUGGAAAGGUCCAGACACCCGUGACGAGGAAAAGGAAAUACAGGACAAAGAAAAAGGAAUUUCAUGGAUGGGGAUCGGUUCCCCUUAUCUUGUUUCUCCAGUCCAUAGGUAGAGAUACAAAGAAGGAGAUAGCUCAAAGCGAGGUUGCAAAUAUUGUAAUGGAGUAUGUUAAGCAGAAAAGUCUCUUUCAUAAAACAAAAAAGAAGAGAAUUGAGUGUGAUGAAAAGCUUCACUCGCUGUUUAAAAGGAAGACCAUUAGCCGGUUGAAAAUCAAUGACUUGCUUGAGUCACACUUUGCGGAGAAUUGCGAGGAAUCCUCUGAUGAUGUUUUGUUUGACUCAGAAGAGGAUGACGCCUUUUCAAUGUGUGAAACUCCGAGAACAGCACCUUCAGAGAAGAGGAGUCAACUGAAGAAACCGGUUUUUGAAAAACCGAGGAGCUGUUUUGCUGCUGUUGUUCCUGCCAAUAUCAAGCUUGUUUAUUUGAAGAGAAGUCUAGUUGAGAAGCUUCUAACUGAUCCUGAAACUUUUGAAACUAAAGUGGUUGGAAGCUUCAUAAGAAUCAAAAGUGACCCAAAUGAUUACCUUCAGAAAAACUCACAUCAGCUUUUGCAAGUCACAGGUAAUCUGGCCUCUCUUCAUUAAUUAUAACAUUGCAUUCAAAUAAAUGCUAUUUGUUUUCUUCCAAAUGUACAGUUCACUUUCAGUAGGUAUGUUCAUCAACUGCUUAAGUUGAAUUCUUAUGUUUAUAACAAGCGGUGGUUUCUAACAAAAAAAAAAAAGAAACUGAAAUGUACUUACUCUCUUUUUUACAUUAUUGGUUUGAUGAUCUGGCAAAUUAGUCAAAUUUGCUAGAUUGAAGAGUAUUCACAAAGAUAACAAUGAACAAAAUUAACUAAGCCUGUUACAUCACUUUUGCAGGGAUCCUCAUAAAUUAAGCAAACCUCAUGUGCUUAUUUAGUACACGAUCCAUUUGGACGAACUUCAUCAGAAGUUUUUCUAGAAGAGAAAAAAUAAAUGAAAUUUACUUCUCUAUAGGCUAAAAUUAACUUGUGUACAAGUUAAUAGAAAAUUAUAUAAACUAUCUGAGAGAGAUUCUACAAAUUAACCCAUACAUAAGCUAAUUUUAGCUUAUGGAGAAGCUAAUACUAAUUUUUCCUCUUAUCUUUUCUCUCCUAUAAAGGACUUACAGAGAUGUUCUUCCGAGCAUGCCCUAAGUCAAGGCUGGGUAUGGUAGUCCUAACUGAAUGAUUUGAUUUAUUCACCAUGAAUGACGAUGAACAAA